UUGCCCGCGGGCGUGCCUCCGACCCGUAUUGCAAAGCCUGGGGUUGCGGCUGUGCCUGGGCUAUCGGCUCCGCUACUUUUAGUAAUGGCGCUGCCGAUGGCUGGGGUGCCAGCAUCGGCGGAGGCGUCAGAGGCUUCGCCGGCGGAAUCACCGGGACCGACUGCGGCUGAGGCAAAGCGGCGGCUGGCUGAGCCGGCAUUGUUACAGCGGGCUCUGCGCGAAAGCUCAAGUUCCGCCUGACAACGUCUUUCAACAGAGCUUCUCUCUCACUCUGCAACGACUUGAUUUCUUGACGCGCCUGCUCUAAACGCAAUUCUUUCCGGGCAUUCUCAUCACUCAGUUUUUUGACCUCCUGUUUAUACAUCUCUGCCUCACGUUUGCACGUCUCUAUCUCACGUUUAUGCGCCUCUGCCUCCAGCCUCCAGGCCUCUGCAACAUGCCUGCAAGACUCUAUAUCAACUUGUGAUCUGAACACGCCAACUCCCAGAUCAAAAAAACUUUCUUUGUCAACUCCCUCGGUAUCUCCAAAAGCUUCGUAGAGAGACACGAUUACAUUAGCUGACCUAACAUUUAUCUGCUCUAUCGGCUCAUCCUCCCUUGCCGUCAGAGCUUUUUUAAAAUUAGCUGAUUCAAACGCCGAUGCAAGUCUAGCAUACAGGGUUUCUGUGAGAUCUGGCGAUCUGGCAUCUACUACACCAGGAGAACUCCUUCCAAACUGGGCCAUUUUUAAACUCGGCUGUUACUUCAGUUUCUCAAUCCCACUUCUGACACCAAAUCUGUCGUGGAACGCAGUUUCGCGGCAGAGUUAUGGGGAAAAUACGCGAGGCGUUGACUAUUUUAUCAGUGAUUUAUUGCAAAGAAUGCGGAUUCCCUCUUCCCGAAACUACACCACCACUGUGAAUUCUUUUUGAUUGAGAUCAAAGUAACAUUUCCGAAAAUGGCAAAUUAAAGAGUCUAUGAUGUUUAAAGAGA